rnacentral:rRNA from 1 species
GACGAACGCUGGCGGCGUGCUUAACACAUGCAAGUCGAACGGAAAGGCCCUGCUUUUGUGGGGUGCUCGAGUGGCGAACGGGUGAGUAACACGUGAGUAACCUGCCCUUGACUUUGGGAUAACUUCAGGAAACUGGGGCUAAUACCGGAUAGGAGCUCCUGCUGCAUGGUGGGGGUUGGAAAGUUUCGGCGGUUGGGGAUGGACGGGCGGCUUAUCAGCUUGUUGGUGGGGUAGUGGCUUACCAAGGCUUUGACGGGUAGCCGGCCUGAGAGGGUGACCAGCCACAUUGGGACUGAGAUACGGCCCAGACUCCUACGGGAGGCAGCAGUGGGGAAUAUUGCACAAUGGGCGGAAGCCUGAUGCAGCAACGCCGCGUGCGGGAUGACGGCCUUCGGGUUGUAAACCGCUUUCGCCUGUGACGAAGCGUGAGUGACGGUAAUGGGUAAAGAAGCACCGGCUAACUACGUG